rnacentral:rRNA from 1 species
UACGUAGGGUGCGAGCGUUGUCCGGAAUUAUUGGGCGUAAAGAGCUCGUAGGCGGUUUGUCGCGUCUGCUGUGAAAUCCCGAGGCUCAACCUCGGGCCUGCAGUGGGUACGGGCAGACUGGAGUGCGGUAGGGGAGAAUGGAACUCCUGGUGUAGCGGUGGAAUGCGCAGAUAUCAGGAGGAACACCGGUGGCGAAGGCGGGUCUCUGGGCAGUAACUGACGCUGAGGAACGAAAGCGUGGGGAGCGAACAGG